UACAGAGGGGGCAAGCGUUAUUCGGAAUUAUUGGGCGUAAAGGGCGCGUAGGCGGCCAGGCAAGUGGGAGGUGAAAUCCCUCGGCUUAACCGAGGAACUGCCCUCCAAACUGCUUGGCUUGAGACCGGGAGAGGUGAGUGGAAUUCCCAGUGUAGCGGUGAAAUGCGUAGAUAUUGGGAGGAACACCAGUGGCGAAGGCGGCUCACUGGACCGGUACUGACGCUGAUGCGCGAAAGCGUGGGGAGCAAACGGG
rnacentral:rRNA from 1 species